rnacentral:rRNA from 1 species
AUUGAACGCUGGCGGCAUGCCUUACACAUGCAAGUCAAACGGCAGCACGGGUGCUUGCACCUGGUGGCGAGUGGCGAACGGGUGAGUAAUACAUCGGAACAUGUCCUGUAGUGGGGGAUAGCCCGGCGAAAGCCGGAUUAAUACCGCAUACGAUCUACGGAUGAAAGCGGGGGACCUUCGGGCCUCGCGCUAUAGGGUUGGCCGAUGGCUGAUUAGCUAGUUGGUGGGGUAAAGGCCUACCAAGGCGACGAUCAGUAGAUGGUCUGAGAGGACGACCAGCCACACUGGGACUGAGACACGGCCCAGACUCCUACGGGAGGCAGCAGUGGGGAAUUUUGGACAAUGGGCGAAAGCCUGAUCCAGCAAUGCCGCGUGUGUGAAGAAGGCCUUCGGGUUGUAAAGCACUUUUGUCCGGAAAGAAAUCCUUGGCUCUAAUACAGUCGGGGGAUGACGGUACCGGAAGAAUAAGCACCGGCUAACUACGUG